CCUACGGGUGGCUGCAGUGGGGAAUAUUGCACAAUGGGCGCAAGCCUGAUGCAGCCAUGCCGCGUGUGUGAAGAAGGCCUUCGGGUUGUAAAGCACUUUCAGCGGGGAGGAAGGCGGUGAGGUUAAUAACCUCAUCGAUUGGCGUUACCCGCAGAAGAAGCACCGGCUAACUCCGUGCCAGCAGCCGCGGUAAUACGGAGGGUGCAAGCGUUAAUCGGAAUUACUGGGCGUAAAGCGCACGCAGGCGGUCUGUCAAGUCGGAUGUGAAAUCCCCGGGCUCAACCUGGGAACUGCAUUCGAAACUGGCAGGCUAGAGUCUUGUAGAGGGGGGUAGAAUUCCAGGUGUAGCGGUGAAAUGCGUAGAGAUCUGGAGGAAUACCGGUGGCGAAGGCGGCCCCCUGGACAAAGACUGACGCUCAGGUGCGAAAGCGUGGGGAGCAAACAGGAUUAGAUACCCGGGUAGUC
rnacentral:rRNA from 1 species